ensembl:lncRNA
GGCACAACUCCUGCAGAAACUACUACUCCAGGCACAAUGACUCAAACUGCUACUUGGCACCACCACUGCAGAAACCACUAUCAUUGGCACCACUUGUGUGAAAAAAACUAUGAUAGAUACAGAUUCCUUAGAAUGUACCACCACUUGUACACACACUACCCUGUAGAAACUACUUCUGUAGAAACUACUACCCUUGGCGCAACUCCUGCAGAAACUACUACUCCGGGCGCAAUGUCUCAAACUGCUACUUGGCACCACUAUUGCAGAAACCACUAUCAUUGGCACCACUUGUGUGAUAAAAACAACUAUGACAGAUACAGAUUCCUUAGAAUGUACCACCACUUGUACACAAACUACUCUACAGAAACUGCUUCUGUAGAAACUACUACCCUUGGCACAACUCCUGAAGAAACUACUACUCCGGGCACAAUGUCUCAAACUGCCACUUGGCAACACUAUUGCAGAAACCACCAUCAUUGGCACCACUUGUGUGAUAAAAACAACUAUGACAGAUACAGAUUCCUUAGAAUGUACCACCACUUGUACACAAACUACUCUACAGAAACUACUUCAGUAGAAACUACUACCCUUGGCACAACUCCUGCAGAAACUUCUACCCUUGGCACAACUCCUGCAGAAACUACUACUCCGGGCACAAUGUCUCAAACUGCCACUUGGCAACACUAUUGCAGAAACCACCAUCAUUGGCACCACUUGUGUGAUAAAAACAACUAUGACCGAUACAGAUUCCUUAGAAUGUACCACCACUUGAAUACACACUACCCUGUAGAAACAACUUCCAUAGAAACUACUACCUUUGGCACAACUCCUGCAAAAACUACUACUCCAGGCACAAUGACUCAAACUGCUACUUGGCACCACCACUGCAGAAACCGCUAUCAUUGGCACCACUUGUGUGAUAAAAACAACUAUGACAGAUACCGAUUCCUUAGAAUGUACCACCACUUAUACACACACUACUCUGUAGAAACUACUACCUUGGGAACCACUUCAAUAGAAACAACUACUCUGGGCACCACUUCUAUGUAAACUACUUGCCCUACUACCCGAUUCUUUAGAAUGUACUACCACUUGUACAUACACUAGUACUCUUGCAACCCCGUAGCAGAUAGUCCUACAGUUUCAUCACUGUAGAAAUAUCAGCAUUGGUUAAUUCAACAGUAAUAGUAUUGUAAACAUCCACACAUGUAAUGACAACUGCUGGAACAACAAUCUUUGCUAUAUCUAUGUCUGGCAUAUUGUCUGCCUUUGAAUCCUUAGUUGCUGAAAUAUAACACUUCUACAGAAAAUAUUACCCUUGGCGCACUUUUUGUGGAAAGUACUAUUCUGGCCACCACUUCUGGAGAAAGUACCAUCUUUGACUCCACUUCUCCAGAAACAACUACCCUUGGCGCCACCUUGACUGAAACACUGUUCUGAAACUCUGCAAAAUUCUGCAUUGUAUCUGUGGAACAAGCAUACCAUUGAUCAUGCCACUUCUAACAAGAUAUACAAGAUGAGCAGAUUGUGGGCAAUGAGAUGAGGACAAGGUCUUGUGGUAUUCCCUAAAGACUGCUACUCUACUACAGAUACUGAUCUCUGCGCUCCUGCUUAGUAAAAUAGGAAUAUAAAUUAAUCAAUUUAAAGAUUUUCUUUUGACAAAUUGUAUAUUAAAAAUUAAUAUUUGCUGCAAUUGAUUUUUGAAAAUAUUUUAUGGUUUGUGUAAUGUAAAUGUCACUGUUAAAUGAAUAAAAGAAUUUCACUGAGGUGAUCAUGAAACAUUGUUUAUUAGGUACUAUAU